UAUUUGCUUGCUCCUUUACUUGUACCACAACAAGGCACCUCAAGUCAACAACUUUCUCUGGUUAAGAUCAAUAUAUACUCCUUGCUUUCUUCUAUAUUUUUUUCCUCUUUCAUUCGGUUGGGGGGGGGGACAUCAGUAAGUGUGCCACCAUAACUUUCAAAAUGAUGGAAAUCGACCACAAAAGUAAUUUUUUUCUCUUCGAUUCGUUAGGGUUGGGGUGGAGAAAGGUUGGGCACAUCAAUAAGUGUACCACCAAUAACUUUCACAGUAAUGGACAUCAAUCAUAUUAGUUGUUUUAUGAUAGCUAGUUUCAUGGGAUGACAUAAUCAUCCAGUGAAGACUUCAUUGUGACUUCGUAUAUCAUGGCACGUCUAAUCUCCUAAAGUCAAUAAAUC
rnacentral:lncRNA from 1 species